CCCAGACUCCUACGGGAGGCAGCAGUGGGGAAUAUUGCACAAUGGGGGAAACCCUGAUGCAGCGACGCCGCGUGAGCGAAGAAGUAUUUCGGUAUGUAAAGCUCUAUCAGCAGGGAAGAAAAAAAUGACGGUACCUGAGUAAGAAGCACCGGCUAAAUACGUGCCAGCAGCCGCGGUAAUACGUAUGGUGCAAGCGUUAUCCGGAUUUACUGGGUGUAAAGGGAGCGUAGGCGGCGCGUUAAGUCUGAUGUGAAAACCCGAGGCUCAACCACGGGAGUGCAUUGGAAACUGGCGGGCUGGAGUGCCGGAGAGGUAAGCGGAAUUCCUAGUGUAGCGGUGAAAUGCGUAGAUAUUAGGAGGAACACCAGUGGCGAAGGCGGCUUACUGGACGGCAACUGACGCUGAGGCUCGAAAGCGUGGGGAGCAAACAGGAUUAGAUACCCUGGUAU
rnacentral:rRNA from 1 species